AAAAAACUUUUAAGCCCUCUGUUACCGGUUCUCCUGGUGUUUCCCGUGGAGCCAGUAGAGGGAGAGAGGGAGGAGGCGCGUCGAUGCCGGAUCUCUUCUCCUUCCCUCCUCACGCCGCAGGGGACGUAGGGUGGAUCGGCCUCCGACGUAGACUCAUCGUCGCCGUCCGGCAGGGAGGGAGCCGGUAUUGGCCUCGGAGGCGAAGACCGUACUCGUGAGGUAGACGACCCGCCACCUCUGUGAAUGUCACGGAAGCCCGAAAAAUGAGCUAUUGUGAAUUUGGAAACUGCAGUGAUAUUAGGCCUUUCAUCAUCUUCUGAUGAAGUGGAUAAGUUGAAUCUUUUAUUGUUGGAUAACCUUGCCACCUUCGAGCACGAAAGAACACAAACCUUGAAAUCUGAAAGUGCAUUGCUCAGGUUUCCUGUGGCUCCUGCUCUAAUACAAAUGGAUUUUGAGAUUUUUGUUUUGUCCAUUGUGUUCCACAGUGCAUUGAAAAGUCAUCAUGCGGCUGCAGACAAAUUCAUAGUUCAAUAAAUUGUCAUUAGUUUUGAGUCUUUGAUCCAUGACUUACAUGAAACAGGUACCUUUCUGGAGAUUUGCAUUAUUUCUGAUUAUUUUUGCUUGCCAGUCUACUUUCCCGUUGAUGAGAUCAACAACGCUAGAAACUCAUGGGGGUAUAAACCUGUAUGAAUCAUUAGAUGAUGCAACUUUUGUGAGAAAUGAUUUCUUGGGUCAUGUGCAGCAUAUGGGCCUUCAU